ensembl:lncRNA
CUUGGAAUCAUGUUCAAUACAAAAACACCAAACUCGUGGGAUUGCCCUAGCAAGCAGUUGGUCAGGUUUUGUUCCCUCCCUUUGAAUUAAUCUUCUUCAUAUUGAAGUGGCGAGCCGGUAGGACCAUUCUUUGUUUCCCCUCUUUCCCCCACUUAGCCGUCUUUGGAUUACGGACAUAUUUCCCCAUUUGUAUGAAGCUGGACUCUAAGGAGGAAUACCUUAAAAGUGAACUUUAAAAAGAAGAGGACCAAAAAGGACUUUUGCACAGAAAGAUCACAGCAUUGAUUUAUUAUUUAAUUGUGGGCAUUUAUGUUGUGUGUUGUGUUAAUUAUUUUGUUCCAUUUCCCCUUUCCUCCAUUUAUUCAAUAUAUUUUUGGUACAAGAUAUUGCAGUCUUUGGUCUCAUCAUUCACACCAUCUAGGCUCCAUAAAGAACUAUUUCUUCUGCGCGUCAGUCAGUAAACUCAUCCAUUGAAAUAAACUAGUCCUUAAAUAACUUUGAGUUACACAGUGGCAAAUGUAAUAGAGAAAGACACAGGGCCACCUGAAAUCUGUCGUCCUAUCUGAUUCAAAACCAAC